rnacentral:rRNA from 1 species
AGAGUUUGAUCCUGGCUCAGGACGAACGCUGGCGGCGUGCCCAAUACAUGCAAGUCGAGCGGACCGGGCGGGAGCUUGCUUCCGCCUGGUUAGCGGCGGACGGGUGAGUAACACGUGGGUAACCUGCCCGUAAGACCGGGAUAACCCCGGGAAACCGGGGCUAAUACCGGAUAACACCGAAGACCGCAUGGUCUUCGGUUGAAAGGCGGCUUCGGCUGCCACUUACGGAUGGGCCCGCGGCGCAUUAGCUAGUUGGUGAGGUAACGGCUCACCAAGGCGACGAUGCGUAGCCGGCCUGAGAGGGUGACCGGCCACACUGGGACUGAGACACGGCCCAGACUCCUACGGGAGGCAGCAGUAGGGAAUCUUCCGCAAUGGACGAAAGUCUGACGGAGCGACGCCGCGUGAGCGAAGAAGGUCUUCGGAUCGUAAAGCUCUGUUGUUAGGGAAGAAGAAGUACCGUUCGAAUAGGGCGGUACGG